UCCCUGGUAGUCAAGUGGCUAAGACUCUGCACUCCCAAAGCAGGGAGCCUAGGUUCAAUCCCUGGUCUAGGUU
rnacentral:tRNA from 1 species